rnacentral:rRNA from 1 species
AGGAUGAACGCUGGCGGUCUGCUUAACACAUGCAAGUCGAACGGAGUAGCAAUACUUAGUGGCGGACGGGUGAGUAACGCGUGAGAAUCUACCUUCAGGACGGAGACAACAGUUGGAAACGACUGCUAACCCCCGAUGUACCGAAAGGGCAAAUAUUUAUAGCCUGAAGAAGAGCUCGCGUCCGAUUAGCUAGUUGGAGAGGUAAAAGCUCACCAAGGCGACGAUCGGUAGCUGGUCUGAGAGGACGAUCAGCCACACUGGGACUGAGACACGGCCCAGACUCCUACGGGAGGCAGCAGUGGGAAUUUUCCGCAAUGGGCGAAAGCCUGACGGAGCAAGACCGCGUGAGGGAGGAAGGCUCUUGGGUUGUAAACCUUCUUUUCGUUGGGGAAGAACAAAAUGACGGUACCCAAGGAAUCAGCAUCGGCUAACUCCGCGCCAGCAGCCGC